GAUGAACGCUGGCGGCGUGCCUAAUACAUGCAAGUCGAGCGAACAGAUAAGGAGCUUGCUCCUUUGACGUUAGCGGCGGACGGGUGAGUAACACGUGGGUAACCUAUCUAUAAGACUGGAAUAACUUCGGGAAACCGGGGCUAAUGCCGGAUAAUAUGUUGAACCGCAUGGUUCAAUAGUGAAAGGCGGCUUUGCUGUCACUUAUAGAUGGAUCCGCGCCGUAUUAGCUAGUUGGUAAGGUAACGGCUUACCAAGGCAACGAUACGUAGCCGACCUGAGAGGGUGAUCGGCCACACUGGAACUGAGACACGGUCCAGACUCCUACGGGAGGCAGCAGUAGGGAAUCUUCCGCAAUGGGCGAAAGCCUGACGGAGCAACGCCGCGUGAGUGAUGAAGGUCUUCGGAUCGUAAAACUCUGUUAUUAGGGAAGAACAAAUGCGUAAGUAACUGUGCGCGUCUUGACGGUACCUAAUCAGAAAGCCACGGCUAACUACGUG
rnacentral:rRNA from 1 species